UACCAGCACCCCGAGUGGUCGGGACGAUUAUUGGGCCUAAAGCAUCCGUAGCCGGCCUUACAAGUCCUCCGUUAAAUCCAGCUGCUUAACAGAUGGGCUGCGGAGGAUACUAUAAGACUAGGAGGCAGGAGAGGCAAGCGGUACUCAGUGGGUAGGGGUAAAAUCCGUUGAUCCAUUGAAGACCACCCAGUGGCGAAGGCGGCUUGCCAGAAUGCGCUCGACGGUGAGGGAUGAAAGCUGGGGGAGCAAACCGG
rnacentral:rRNA from 1 species